GUUCUGCUCUCUGUUCUGUCCUGGGCCUCACACUGCUGACACUUUCCUUGUGUUGGCUCUAGUACUGUGCUGCCAGGCCCUCAUGCUGAGCCAGCAGCUGUUGCUGUACAAUUGCAAGACGCGAUGCAAGUAGAAUAGUGAAAACAGACAGGCAGGAAUGGUCAGAGGGAUGAAAGACUGACAACUGACAGCCUGCACUCAUGUUAGCUACAGUAUGAAACCACACCCUGACAACAUCUGCUCCUGUUAAUAGAUCUUCGGUGUUGGCAUUGGAUGAACUCACUGCGAGCUGAGGGUAUCAUCUGGCAACAAUCUGGAAUGCUUGGAGUAGCGCACCUGCUUUGGCAGCAGCACAGGAAUGCAAGCAGAUUGCCACUGCUUCUUACAUCCAUUGGCUCUGACAGGAACUUAAGUGAAGACAUGAGAAAUUUUGUAGGAGCAUGGGAACAUGUAUCAGACUAUGCAUCCAGUCUGGUUUUCCUCACCUUCUUUUUCUGCAAGGCUUCUCCAUAACAUAGAAAGUUUAAGAACCUGCAUAGUUCUUUUCAGGGUAGUGGGCUAUACUUCUGUAACUCAGUUUCUCAGUUACCACUUAACUGAUUCAGUUUGACAGCAAUUUAUGCUUUAACACUGCUAACAGAAGAAAGAACUUGGGCUACCAUAGGAAAAGAACAUGUCACAAAGUAAUCAAGUAAGGAAGAUAUUUGCAGAUUGGUGAACACAUCAUACGGUGAUGAGGAAUGAAGCAUCUGCAAAAUCUCUAGUGGACAUCUUCAGAAAUUUAUACAGGUGAGGGCGUGUUCUAGAAAAAAAGGUAAAUAAAGUGCUCAUCUAAAAUGAACUCAUCUUUCAUCCUUGGGGAAAAAUGUUAGCAAAUAAUCGCAAGCAUUUAGAAGACAAAAAGAAGACUAAAAAUUUGUGCCAAGAAUAAAUCAUGUCAAGACAAUUUUCUUCUGUGAUGUUCUUCUGAGAGAUGGAGUAGAAAGAAUAGUUAUGUCAUAGAACCACAGAGUUCAAGAAUGGCUGAGGUAGGUGCGGCACAUUUGGUCCAUCUGGUCCAACCCCCACUCAAGCAUGAACACUCAGAGCAGGCUGCCCAGGUUCACCUCCAAGGUUGCUUUUGAAGAUUUCCUGGCAGGAGACUCCACAGCUUCUCUGGACAGCCUUUGGCAGUACUCCAUCAUUUGCACAGCUCUGACGUUCUUCCUGAUGUUCAGGUGGAACCUGCUGUGUUCCAGCUCGUUGCCCAUUGCCUCUUGUCUCGUCACUGGGCACCACUGAAACAAGUCUGGAUCCAUCUUCUCUGCACCUUCCCUUCAGUUUCAGAAUGACAGACAGAUGUGCAUCACUGAAAAAUGUAUUGAUGACUUACAAUAUCCAGAGCUAAGAGUGUAGAGGAGACAGAAGGCAGCAUUGUGAGCAGAUAUGAAGACAUCAUACUGCAUCAGUGAGAAUUCAGCUACCUCCACCACCUUUUUGUUUGUUUGUUUGUCUGUCUUACUAUUAAGGAAAAGAUAGGAUGUCCCAGCUCUUGUCCAAGUCAGCGGCAUGCAAAAGAGCCACCAAAAGGCUAGAGGAAACUGCUGUCCUUCUUUGGCUGUGCCAGAAGAUCUUUGAAUUGGCCUUUGUCUUCUAACACCGUUUUCAGUGGGUGGAUGAGGAAUAAAAGAGCAGUAGAUGCGUUUUUCAUUUCAUCAACUGGAAGAAGGAAGAUAGUAUAAAAUAAAACAUUAAAAAGCCCCUGCA